AUUGAACGCUGUCGGCCGGCCUAACACAUGCAAGUCGAACGAGUGGCGGACGGGUGAGUAAUGUCUGGGAAACUGCCUGAUGGAGGGGGAUAACUACUGGAAACGGUAUCUAAUACCGCAUACCAUCAGAUGUGCCCAGAUGGGAUUGUCUUGUUGGUGGGGUCAAGGCUCGCCAAAGCGACGAUCCCUAGCUGGUCUGCGAGGAUGACCAGCGACACUGGAACUUAGAAACGGUCCAGACUCCUACGUGAGGCAGCAGGGGGGAAGAGUGAACAAUGGGCGCAAGCCUGAUGCAGCCAUGCCGCGUGUAUGAAGGAGGCCUUCGGGUUGUAAAGUACGUUCAGCGGGGAGGCGUUACCCGCAGAAGAAGCACCGGCUAACUCCGGGCCAGCAGCCGCGGUAAUAC
rnacentral:rRNA from 1 species